rnacentral:misc_RNA from 1 species
UAUAAGGUUUAUAGGGCACAGAAGCCCAUAAGUAUUACAUUCCAUGACAUACAUUGAGGUUAUAUGAAAGAACAUAGGCCUGAAAAUGUAAGGAGAGGCAAAAAGUCAAUCCUCGUACCUAAAUGCUAGCACAUUCAGAAAGUUAUCCAGGUCUACAAUAGGUGCACAGGUGGAGAUAUAAAGACGACAAGUGUGCACAUGCUCUCUAUGAGAGCCAGCAGCAACUCAUCAGGUUUAAUUCAAUAAUGAUCCUUCCGCAGGUUCACCUACGGAAA